UGAGUGUUUUAGCAUCUUUGCCUCUGAAUU
rnacentral:piRNA from 1 species